rnacentral:snRNA from 1 species
AUACUUACCUGGCAGGGGAGAUACCAUGAUCACGAAGGUGGUUUUCCCAGGGCGAGGCUUAUCCAUUGCACUCCGGAUGUGCUGACCCCUGAGAUUUCCCCAAAUGUGGGAAACUCGACUGCAUAAUUUGUGGUAGUGGGGAACUGCGUUCGCGCUUUCCCCUG